CUCUCCGCUGACACAGACCAGACGCGUCUGUGCCGGGCGAUUCUCAUGCAAAUCUGGGUCCCUGCGCGCCGGGACAGCCGCUUUGAACUUGAUUCUUACUGCUACUACUGUUGCUGCUUUGCUUUGCUUGCUGCUACUGCUUCUGAUGCUGCUGCUGCUCGUGGUGGUGACUCGACAGCGAAUGCGGUCAUUUCCACGGACACACGGAAGAGCACGAUCACUGAUAUCGGCAGCAGAGGCAGCAGCUUCAACGUCAGUUACGCAGCAUCGCGGUGAUUGUUGUCGCUGGGUAAGCCACGUCGGGUUUGCGUGCUGUGCGUACGCACACGGAGAGCAGAGGUCCCAGAUAGAUCGCAGUACAUGGUGGAUAGGUUUAAGGCACACGUGUGCAUACACACACACAGGGAGAGGGACAUGCUUAGAGCACGUGUCGACAUUAAAUCACGCACAUGUGUUGCGUACUGAAACACAUAGGCCACCUAAGAUCAGAUGCAGUAGAUACAUAGACACACACACUUAAAGCACAUAAUAUACUCAUGCUAAGAUCAGAUACACACGUAACAACAUGUAUUCAUUACAUACAGCACGUACUUAAUACACGCAUACUUAAAGAGUGUACACACGCUUAAUUCACAUAUACAUGCUUAAUCUCACGCAGACACUUAAUCCACACAUACACAUGCUAAAUCAGAUGCAUACCAUACUUGAGUUACACACGUACUAAAAUACACAUAUUUUAGUACGUGUCUUAAGUACAUAGAUACUUAAGACAUAUACACAUACUAAAAUCGCAUCUACACAUAUAACACCUCAUGCACGUUUGCAAAAAUCAUAAAUACUUUAAAGACAUACUAAAAUCGCAUGCAUACACACACUUAAAUAACAUGUACACACAAUACUUAGAAAACAAAUGCACUUUAAUUGACAUGCACAUACUAAAUUACAUAUUGUAAAAGAGCAUUGCAUGGAGAACACGCACAUACAUAUACACACUGAACCGCAUAUAUGGUCCCAUAGACACUCGCUCCAUUUUCGCAUACAUAUACCUACUAAAGAUGCACUUAAAAUAUAUCUUCGUGUGAAAAGUGUGAAUUUACACCGCAAGUGUGAACUUACACUUGUAAAAUUAGGUGAAUAUAGAUCAUAACCACAUACUAAAAUUGUGAUAUAUACUUAAGUCGCUCACAUAGACUGAAUUCACAAAUACAUACGCGAUAUCAGAUGAACAUCAACGUUAAACAUGCAUACUUACUACGAAAUACUCUCUAAAUUCACAUUAUGCACUUAAAUCACAUUUAUGGACACAUAGUAACUUUACCGUAUGUACACACUAAACAACAUUAACACACGCUUGUAGCACAUACACCACUGAUGAACCACACACACGUACUAAACGUAUAUACUAAACAACUCAUAAACUUUAAACUAAAUUGACAAGUAUACACACAUGCUCAAGUCACGUUCGCGCAAACCCUUAACAUUACACGUACGCAUUGGUAAAAUACUAACACGGCCAGAUACACACAUAUACUUUAACUCAAUGAAUAUGUGAACACAUAAGCACACAUAUCCACAAUUACAGAGACACAUUAAAUAACACAUAUACACACUAAAUAAUAUAGUAUACAUACUAACUUUGAUAUGCAUAGGCUGCACACGCGUUAUUGAGCAUGUACGCAGACACCCAGCGAACUUACACGCAUACUUCUGGAUUAUCGAUCACUUAACUUAAGACGCAUUCAUAUGAUCAUAUAUAACUUAACUCAAGGCACAUACGUUAAUUUACGCGCAAAUGUAUGCAUUGCUACACUGUCACUUAUAUCGCUUCUAAGAUAUCUACAUUGUUAUACUAUAAUGCGUAAACACUCGCACGCACUCAACCCAUUCGCAGUGCUAACGCGGAGGAUUCAAUCAAUAGCAGUAGGAUCUGAUACAGUAUAUACGUACUAUAGUGAUUGCAUACGGUCCUAAACCAGAAGUGCCUAUCAAAAGUCCACCUUCGAAGGAUGUCUCCUCUGCGGUCAAACCCUGCACAAGACUUCACCGGCUUUGCAAGUGACCGCGGAUAGACGUGGACAGAGCCGGGGAUUGAACUCGCGCCCGAUAUUGUCCAAGGCAAGAGGGAGAGAGAUGGGAAGGAGGGAGAACGACCAGAGCGGAGAUGGAGGGGUAACAACAGCAAGAGACCACGUGUGGGAGUGAUAUGGAAGACACGCCAGCGCUUGAUCAAUGGCCAUCAGGAUCGGUGUGGAGAAGGAUGAGCAACCCUCCUCCAUGAUCAUCGUGGUGGCGUUUGAAGAUGCCGCAACAGCUGCAGGAGAUUAUUGCUGCUGCUGAUAUUGACGAUGUCCUCGCUUCUCACGGUGCUGGUGAUGAAUGUAUUGAUAAUGACGAUUGCUAAUGACGCCGUUGCUACUGAUCAUGAUUGUGUGGUUGUUAGGAAUGAUAAUGAUGUUGCUACUGCCCGUGAUGACGAUGACGAUGAUGUAGCUGAAGAAGAAUUGUGGAUUUUGUCAUUGCUACGGACGACGACG